UACGGGGGGGCAAGCGUUGUUCGGAAUUACUGGGCGUAAAGGGCUCGUAGGCGGCCAACUAAGUCGGACGUGAAAUCCCUCAGCUUAACUGGGGAACUGCGUCCGAUACUGGAUGGCUUGGAUUUGGGAGAGGGAUGCGGAAUUCCAGGUGUAGCGGUGAAAUGCGUAGAUAAUCUGGAGGAACACCGGUGGCGAAGGCGGCAUCCUGGACCAAUAUUGACGCUGAGGAGCGAAAGCUAGGGGAGCAAACGGG
rnacentral:rRNA from 1 species